rnacentral:rRNA from 1 species
AGGGUGUAAACGCUGCGGGCUUGGUGUUGGGGGUCCUUAGUGGGCGCCCAGUGCCGGAGAGAAGUUGUUAAGCCUGCUGCUUGGGGAGUAUGUCCGCAAGGAUGAAACUUAAAGGAAUUGGCGGGGGAGCGCCGCAACGGGAGGAGCGUGCGGUUCAAUUGGAUUCAACGCCGAAAAAACUCACCAGGAGCGACGGAUAUAUGAAGGUCAAGCUGAUGACUUUACCUGAUUUUCCGAGAGGAGGUGCAUGGCGUAGUCGUGU